AACGGGACCGUUAAAUUAGCCAUCAUGUGGUACGGAAAUUGUGGCAAGGAAAUAAAGAACACCAUGAGAAACUUCAUUAAAUCAUUGACCGUCCCAGGCAAAGCCAAACUGCAACCUCAAGUUACCUGUUGGUGGAAAGUAGUGGAAAGUUACCAAUCAAUGAUACCAGACGCAAAGCCUGGGAAAAGCCCCAAAAUCAAGGUCAAAGUGGUGAAACAAUCAGGAGAGAAAACAUAUAAAUAUGGGAAAGUUUUGACUUUGCAAGGGCAUAUCCCGGAGCUUAUCGAGCAUGUCACUAAGGGCGAUACUGAACUCUUACCGGUCAUCGUUGCUGCAAGGGAUGUCUCUAUUCAAGGAAUUUGCAACGGGCAAUGUGCGGAUCAUUUACUUACUGGUAAGCUUUUUUAUUUUUGGUUGUGAUAGUUAGGUCCU
rnacentral:lncRNA from 1 species